rnacentral:rRNA from 1 species
UCCUACGGGAGGCAGCAGUGGGGAAUUUUCCGCAAUGGGCGAAAGCCUGACGGAGCAAUACAGCGUGAGGGAAGACUGCCUAUGGGUUGUAAACCUCUUUUUUCAGGGAGGAAUAAAUGACGUGUACCUGAAGAAUAAGCAUCAGCUAACUCCGUGCCAGCAGCCGCGGUAAGACGGAGGAUGCAAGUGUUAUCCGGAAUCACUGGGCGUAAAGCGUCUGUAGGUGGUUUAAUAAGUCAACUGUUAAAUCUUGAGGCUCAACUUCGAAAUCGCAGUCGAAACUAUUAGACUAGAGUAUAGUAGAGGUAAAGGGAAUUUCCAGUGGAGCGGUGAAAUGCGUAGAUAUUGGAAAGAACACCGAUGGCGAAAGCACUUUACUGGGCUAUUACUAACACUCAGAGACGAAAGCUAGGGUAGCAAAUGGGAUUAGAUACCCCAGUAGUCCUAGCCGUAAACAAUGGAUACUAGAUGUUGGACAGAUCGACCCCCUCGGUGUCGUAGCCAACGCGUUAAGUGUUCCGCCUGGGGAGUACGCACGCAAGUGUGAAACUCAAAGGAAUUGACGGA